AAUGAACGCUGGCGGCGUGCUUAACACAUGCAAGUCGAACGAAGCACUUUAUUUGAUUUCCUUCGGGACUGAUUAUUUUGUGACUGAGUGGCGGACGGGUGAGUAACGCGUGGGUAACCUGCCUUGUACAGGGGGAUAACAGUUGGAAACGGCUGCUAAUACCGCAUAAGCGCACAGCAUCGCAUGAUGCAGUUUGAAAAACUCCGGUGGUAUAAGAUGGACCCGCGUUGGAUUAGCUAGUUGGUGAGGUAACGGCCCACCAAGGCGACGAUCCAUAGCCGACCUGAGAGGGUGACCGGCCACAUUGGGACUGAGACACGGCCCAAACUCCUACGGGAGGCAGCAGUGGGGAAUAUUGCACAAUGGGCGAAAGCCUGAUGCAGCGACGCCGCGUGAGCGAAGAAGUAUUUCGGUAUGUAAAGCUCUAUCAGCAGGGAAGAUAAUGACGGUACCUGACUAAGAAGCACCGGCUAAAUACGUG
rnacentral:rRNA from 1 species